rnacentral:lncRNA from 1 species
CAGGCCGUCCCUAAUUUUCCCCUGAAUUUUUUCCGGGGAACUGAAACACACUAACAGUACCUGCACGUGUUCCAAAAAAAACCCAAAUUAGGCCCAGGGCCUCUUUAGGCCCAAAUCGCAACUUCGGCCACACUCGCAUUGGUCCUUGUCAGAAAACAACCCUAGGGCCCUCGGGGGGCCAAAAAAUCACGGAAAAACGGAGCUUACCGGCGGCGGCGCUCUCGGGUGCGGCGGCUCUCCGGCGAGGUUCGUGUUUUGGUGAUUCGGCUCCGGUCAACCUGU